UACUUGGUGGUCUUGUGAUUAGGAUUCAGCACUUUUACUGCUGAGGCCUGGGUUCAAUUCCCAGUUAGGAAA
rnacentral:tRNA from 1 species